GAGUGUUACAGCUCUUUUAGAAUUUGUCUAGCAGGUUUUCUGGCUUCAGCUGGAAAACCCUA
ensembl:snRNA U7 U7 small nuclear RNA